rnacentral:lncRNA from 1 species
GUAGGUUUGAGCGUCAACGCUCUACAAGGCUGAUUGUAUAAAGCUGGACAUGACUUCUGACAACACCAAGCUCGAUAGGACCUACUAACAUGGAUAUCGGUGACGGAAUCUAUAGAGACUAUUAUAAGUCAACGAUAAUAUAUGCAAGCGAUCACCAAGAGUGCUGAAAAGAAUUCUUGGAAUCAAGAUAAGCCAUCAGAGGAAUCAAGUAAGAAGACACUUGUGAGAAUCUUGGCAAUACCUUCUUCAAUUGACUGAUUAAAUUGAUUAUUUCUCUAUCAGUGAUUGUUUUAACAUCUCUUUCAGCGAGACGUUCAUUAAAGAGAAUAUUUCUCUUUAAGAGUAUAUUUUUCACUCUUGAAAUUAUAGAAUGAUGCCAGUGCUUGUGGUAUCAUUUCUGAUCACUUUUCUUUCGAAUUCAGCACAUUUGGAAUCUAUUCCCUAUUUGAACCCCAGGUGCGCAUGAAACUUUUCUCCAAUUAAAGGCAACCAUUGUUAAGUUAAUUAUGAACCCUUUUAUAUUUUUCUACUCUAACUGAGAUGAACAACUCUAAUUAUAGGGGACACAAUGACUCCCUGUCCUCAUUUAGAUACGCAACAUUCUAUCAGGAGGAAACGGUACUAAAGAAUAAAGAAAUAUUACGUUUUAGUCUUCUCUCNCUCUUGCUAUUAUUUCUAACCCUUGCAGCUAAGGAUUAAGGUGGUCACCUGGGUAAGCUGCGCGUAAGAGUAAUGCUAGGCGAGACUGCUAGGGAGGUGGCUGCGAGACUAGUAUGGUUAGAGUUGAAUUAUUUCAAUUCAGUUGUAGAUGGUUUUUAUUUAUUGGUUAUCAGUUAUCCUUCUUACCGAAGUUUAGCUGAUAACGUAGUUUAAGUUGUAAAAAGAUUUUAUAGUUUGGGUUCUGGUUUCAAUGCUGUAACCUAUUUGCGAUCCUGUUGUUAGGGGGUCAAAGUGAUUUUGAUUUAAAUCUCUUUUAAAAAUCCAGAUUUUGAAAUAUAUGUUUUACCUUCUUCCGGAAAUACAGGUUUAAAUUGAUUUUUGUCCACGUGGCACCAGAUCCAGACCCCUGGAUCUGAGGGAUGUCACAGUUGGUAUCAGAGCUGUAGGUUAUAAGUUAUUGAAAUCAGAAUAUAGAUUGUAAUAGAAAUGUGUUUAAUGGAACCUCAUAUAGAGGCAAGUUGAGACUAUUGGAUAUAGUAUUUGUCUAUGGAACUGAGAUGGAGUUAGAAUAUUGAUUCUGAGUAAUCAUUUGGUAUAUCAUAGUUCCUAACUCUAGAACUAAUGAGUUGGAUAUCGGGAGAGACAUGAUAGCAUACCUUUAGCUUCCAAUCUUCUAGAGCUUGAGGAUGACUUUCUGAGUAAUCAGUGUCCGCUAGACUUGUGGAUUGACAUGUCUAACCUAGAAUGUUCCUUAUCAUCUCUACCAUUCCUAGAGGGUUGGAUAGAGGGUUAUCUAUUGUUGCUUAUAGAGACAUAUGGAUUUGGUAGAUGAGUAUGAGAUUGGUGAUGAGAAGUCAGGAGUGUAGUUCUCAAAUUGAGAAUUUAUGUAGAAUCCAUGUUAGAUUAUUUGAUAUAGUACCUAUUAGUAGGUUUGAGCGUCAACGCUCUACAAGGCUGAUUGUAUAAAGCUGGACAUGACUUCUGACAACACCAAGCUCGAUAGGACCUACUAACAUGGAUAUCGGUGACGGAAUCUAUAGAGACUAUUAUAAGUCAACGAUAAUAUAUGCAAGCGAUCACCAAGAGUGCUGAAAAGAAUUCUUGGAAUCAAGAUAAGCCAUCAGAGGAAUCAAGUAAGAAGACACUUGUGAGAAUCUUGGCAAUACCUUCUUCAAUUGACUGAUUAAAUUGAUUAUUUCUCUAUCAGUGAUUGUUUUAACAUCUCUUUCAGCGAGACGUUCAUUAAAGAGAAUAUUUCUCUUUAAGAGUAUAUUUUUCACUCUUGAAAUUAUAGAAUGAUGCCAGUGCUUGUGGUAUCAUUUCUGAUCACUUUUCUUUCGAAUUCAGCACAUUUGGAAUCUAUUCCCUAUUUGAACCCCAGGUGCGCAUGAAACUUUUCUCCAAUUAAAGGCAACCA